GACCCCGCACAAGCGGUGGAACAUGUGGUUUAAUUCGAUGCUACGCGAAAAACCUUACCAAGAUUUGACAUAUUAGUCGUAUGUCUAGGAAACUAGCAGUCAGUUCGGCUGGACUAUUACAGGUGCUGCAUGGCUGUCGUCAGCUCGUGUCGUGAGAUGUUGGGUUAAGUCCCGCAACGAGCGCAACCCUUAUCCUAUGUUGCCAGCAUUUAGUUGGGGACUCGUAGGAGACUGCCGGGGUCAACUCGGAGGAAGGUGGGGAUGACGUCAAGUCAUCAUGCCCCUUAUGCCCAGGGCUGCAAACACGCUACAAUGGCUAGGACAGACGGCCGCAAACCCGCGAGGGGGAGCCAAUCCGACAAACCUAGUCGUAGUCCGGAUCGGAGUCUGCAACUCGACUCCGUG
rnacentral:rRNA from 1 species